GUGCUUGCUUCAGCAGCACAUAUACUAAAAUUGGAACGAUACAAAGAAGAUUAGCAUGGCCCCUGCGCAAGGAAGAGAUCUCACUCUCCUUAAUCUGAGAAUGUUCUU
ensembl:snRNA U6 U6 spliceosomal RNA